rnacentral:rRNA from 1 species
AUUGAACGCUGGCGGCAGGCCUAACACAUGCAAGUCGAGCGGAUGAAGGGAGCUUGCUCCUGGAUUCAGCGGCGGACGGGUGAGUAAUGCCUAGGAAUCUGCCUGGUAGUGGGGGAUAACGUCCGGAAACGGGCGCUAAUACCGCAUACGUCCUGAGGGAGAAAGUGGGGGAUCUUCGGACCUCACGCUAUCAGAUGAGCCUAGGUCGGAUUAGCUAGUUGGUGGGGUAAUGGCCUACCAAGGCGACGAUCCGUAACUGGUCUGAGAGGAUGAUCAGUCACACUGGAACUGAGACACGGUCCAGACUCCUACGGGAGGCGGCAGUGGGGAAUAUUGGACAAUGGGCGAAAGCCUGAUCCGGCCAUGCCGCGUGUGUGAAGAAGGUCUUCGGAUUGUAAAGCACUUUAAGUUGGGAGGAAGGGCAGUAAGUUAAUACCUUGCUGUUUUGACGUUACCAACAGAAUAAGCACCGGCUAACUUCGUG